rnacentral:lncRNA from 1 species
AGAGGACCCAACAGCAUGGAUGGUGCAUGCUGAGCACUUCUCAAAGGAAAACCCGUGGCAGUGGAUUAAGCCUCAUCAUGGUUUUUGAGCUGCUGUGCACAGAAAGAAGACGGCACAUCAUUUGCCAGGCCCAGGCCGGCCAGUACAGACACAUGCCUCAGCAGCACUCUAAGACAUUAGUGAAGGCUGAAGCAUUUUGCCAUCUGGGCAGUGUGGGUGGUGUGCUUUAAGUCUGGUGCUUAUGUUUCUGGAAACAGACAUACAACCAUCAGGUUGGCUAAACUUUCCUCAUGCUUUGUGUUAGAAAGGGAGAGAAUAGAUUACAGGAGACAAUGACAAUGAUAAGAUGAUUUCUAUGGGUUACUGCAAUUCAACCCCCUGUAAUAACACAUUGAUUUCAAUGUUUCCCCUACACAAAGAAUUCUCAUAUGUUGCUGAUGGUAAAUGAUGCCCCAAUAUUCAGUCAAUCUAGGCAAAAAUAAAGUCCACUAAAUGAAAGAAAAUCACUCAAGCUGAAUUGGCCUCAUAUAGAAAUGGCUCAAGAGUUAAGAGAGGGAGCACAUGCUAAGAUAAAGAUUACAGGGGAAAUUGUGUUUAUUUAAUCAAGGCCCAGAUGGGCUGAAGGCAGAACACAGCUCCCUGAUUUGCAUAACUUUUUCUCUCUGAGCCAUAAGCAAGGGCUUUUCCAGUAUCCAAGGAUAACCUCUGAAUUCAAACAAAUCAUUCUUCUGACCUAUGGCCAAUCUUUCAGCCUCACACAGAUGUCUCCCUUUAUGUAUAAGGAAGGAAUAAUCAUAUCACUCAAACUCAAAUGUUCACUCGGGAUUAACUAAUAUUUAAAGUGCUCUUCUUUUAAGAGCCACGCCAUGCAAAAGGGAAGUGGCUUAUACAUAUAAUACAGCAGUUUAUGGAAAAAGACUGCAAAACAUCUGUAUUUGAGGAGUUUUUCUUUGUCAAAUUACUAUAUCACCAUGACCAAUGCAUACAUAUGUAUUACAUAUGACAUUGAUAUGAUUAUUCCUUUGGAUAUAGACACAUAUAGUUGUGAUAAUGUAGCAUAUUUUUUUCCCAAAAUGUGGUAAAAUAAAGAAAUGUUUGACCUAAAGACUUCCCAUUUUAUUGAAAAGUAUGAAAUAUAUUGAAAAAUACAAUAAACCUAAACUGAGCCAAAGUUGUUGCAGCAACUUUACAAUUGCCUAAGUUAAAGUCGUUUUCAAAUACUUAAGCGACAAUAUGCACUAAAAAAUAGAAUCUUUGAAAUACAGAAUUGAAUAAAUGAUGCACUGAAAGUUAUAAAAUUAUUUGUGAAUUAAAAAUACAUAAAACAAUGUAGUGAAUUAAUCUUUAAAUGUAACAUAUAUUUAUU